AUUGUAAGAGAGCUGGGAUGGAGUGGCAUGAAGAUUUGGAGAAUAUUUGCCAGCAAUCAGGCCUGAAGGGCAAAAAAUUAUCAAAGGCCAUGGAAAAUUUCUCAUUGAAUAUAAGAGUAUUAAAAGGACAAGCAGAUUUAAUCAACCAAGCCAAAAAAGAAAGCCAAGAAUAUCUUAGACAAAUCACAGAAGCAGCACAAUCAAUGGGCCUUGGAAAAUUCAACGACAGCCAGACAGACAUACCAGAUGUGCUGGACAGUCCAUUAUGAUGUAGAGACGGUCAACAAAAAGUCCAAGGUCCAGGUGCCACUCACAAAGGGUGGUGCAUCUGUCGGAACUACCAAGCACUUCUCAAACAAACAACCUGGGAAAUCCACACAAAUGUGGGAAAUCAUACCACAACAGCUUCUGAUUUUUUAUUGCUGCCAAAAACUGUGUACAAAAAACAAAGGUAGUGUGUUGCUGGCCAACAUACCAAAAUGUCAGAAUCUCAUGUGAUAGUUUAUAUAGAGUCUGUGUGUUUCUGUUCAGACUGCAUUUCUUGAUUCCUAGUCAUCCCCCUUACUUACCAUGCCAAAUGCUUAUAUACUAGAUAGUGUAUUAAUAUUGUCCGAAUACUUUUUGGGGGGUUUCAUUGGUACUGUUUACUAAUUAAGUCUUGUUGAUGUUUAUGUAUAGGUGUAAAUCUUAUAGUACCAUAUAUAUACUUUUACUCAUGAAAGACAAUAUUUUAUACUCUGACAACAGGGGGAUGAUUUCUGUGUUAAUCUUAUCAGGCUCUCUAUGUGUUCUUCUGUGAUCUAGUCUAACUCUUGCCAGGUUUAUGAAUGUUCUGCUUGAUUUGUGUCUAUUACCAGUCUAUUUAGCAGGCAAUCUUUAUUGAUUUGUUUAAGGUUUUUUACUGUGUCCAAUUUAAUGACACAUCCAGAGAAACUAUGAAUAUGUUGUCCAUCCUUACAAAAAGUCAAUCAGAUUUCAAGCAAAAUCAGUUAUAUUUCCAUCAAACCCCAGAGCAGCUCUCUUGCCUAUUUUGAUUUCCCAAUACAACUUACAUAUUUUUCCAACCAAAGCAAUGGUGUCCUCUUGGGAUUUACCAACAUGGCUGUAGUUAAGAUUUACGUGUAUGUGAUCUCUUAAAAACCUUGAUACUAACCAGUUAAGUCUCAGAUUUCUUGACAAAACUAUGGA